rnacentral:rRNA from 1 species
AGGACGAACGCUGGCGGCGUGCUUAACACAUGCAAGUCGAGCGGAAAGGCCCUUCGGGGUACUCGAGCGGCGAACGGGUGAGUAACACGUGAGCAACCUGCCCUUAGCUCUGGGAUAGCUCCGGGAAAACCGGAAUUAAUACCGGAUACGACCUAGGCCGACAUCGGCCAUGGUGGAAAGUUUUUCGGCUAGGGAUGGACUCGCGGCCUAUCAGCUAGUUGGUGGGGUAAAGGCCUACCAAGGCGACGACGGGUA